AAACUUCUCUAGCUAACAUUUUACGGUUCUCAGUUGCAAGUCCUGCCCACCGUUUCUCCUCCAUAAAAGCCCCACUUUCUCCGGCGGCUUCCCAUAAUCCCUUUCCCUUUCUCCUUCUCUCCCUCUCCUCCUCUCUCUCUCUCUCUCUCUCUCUCUCUCUCUCUCUUUCUUUAGCUGGACUUUAAUAUUGUCUGAAGAUUCUAUUUCCGGCCGGCGAAUUUGCCAGAAUGACCUCUAUAACCUCCGCCGAAUUGAAUUACAUCGUUUUCCGCUAUCUUCAAGAGUCAGGUUUUACACAUUCAGCUUUUGCUUUAGGAUAUGAGGCAGGUAUUAACAAAUGUACCAUAGAUGGCAAUAUGGUUCCUCCUGGUGCUCUUAUUACAUUUGUACAAAAGGGAAUUCAGUACUUGGAAAUGGAAGCAAAUUUGACUUGCCAGGGUGAUGCAGAUGUGGAUGAAGAUUUCUCAUUCUUGCAACCUUUGGAUCUUAUAACAAAAGAUGUAUAUGAAUUACGGCAAAUGAUAAAGGAUAAGAAAAAAAAUCUGCACAAGGACAGAGAUAAAGAUAAAGACAAAGACCAGGACAAAGAAAAAGAUAAAGAAUUUGAAAGGGAGCAUGAAAGAGAACGUGCACGAGUAAGGGAGAAGGAUAGGCAUGAAAGGGAGAAGGAAAAUGAAAAGGAUAGAGAGAGGGUAGAAAAGGAAAAAGAGGGAGAAAAGCAGCAAGAGGAUAAUACUGAUAAAGAAAUGGUUGCUGAUCAAGCGGAUAAAAAUAAUGUCAAACAUGAGGAAAAUGGAAAUUCUGGAGUACCAGAACCAAUGGAAGUCUCUACUACAUCAACAUCCCAGGUAUGCGAGAUUCCAAGUUCUGAUGUGAUGAUUUUGGAGGGACAUACAUCUGAGGUUUGUGCCUGUGCGUGGAGCCCAACAGGAUCACUUCUUGCAUCUGGGUCUGGAGAUUCCACAGCACGUAUUUGGACAAUAGCAGAGGGGACAUCUAGAUCUGGUCUGCAGAAUAGUCCUCUAAAUGUGCUGGUAUUGAAGCAUGUAAAGGGAAGGACGAAUGAGAAGAGCAAAGAUGUUACAACAUUAGAUUGGAAUGGUGAGGGAACCUUACUAGCAACAGGUUCAUAUGACGGGCAAGCAAGAAUUUGGAACACAAAUGGUGAACUGAAGACUACAUUGAGCAAACACAAAGGUCCUAUAUUUUCUCUGAAGUGGAAUAAAAAAGGGGAUUUUCUUCUUACUGGAAGCUGUGACAAAACUGCGAUAGUGUGGGAUGUGAAAAGUGAGGAAUGGAGACAACAGUUUGAAUUUCAUUCAGGUUUAAACUGCAGUCCUAUACUUGAUGUUGACUGGCGCAAUAAUCUUUCAUUUGCCACAAGCUCCACAGACAAUAUGAUAUAUGUUUGCAAAGUUGGAGAUAACCGCCCGGUUAAAACUUUUGCUGGGCAUCAGGGUGAGGUUAAUUGUGUCAAGUGGGAUCCAACUGGCUCAUUACUGGCUUCAUGCUCUGAUGAUAUCACUGCUAAGAUAUGGAGCAUGAAGCAGGACAAAUAUGUUCAUGAUUUGAGGGAACAUUCUAAGGAGAUCUACACCAUCAGAUGGAGCCCCACUGGACCUGGUACAAACAAUCCUAACCAGCAAUUACUCCUAGCGAGUGCAUCAUUUGACUCAACAGUGAAAUUAUGGGAUGUGGAACUUGGGAAACUUACUUGCAGUUUGAAUGGACACAGGGAUCCUGUGUACUCGGUAGCAUUUAGCCCAAAUGGGGAGUAUCUGGCUAGUGGGUCCCUUGAUAGAUGUGUCAACAUCUGGUCUUUGAAGGAAGUUAAGAUCGUGAAAACGUACACAGGCAAUGGUGGAAUAUUUGAGGUUUGCUGGAACAAGGAAGGUGACAAAAUUGCAGCAUGCUUUGCCAACAAUACAGUAUGUGUGUUAGACUUGAGAAUGUAAGUUUGUGGGAGGGGGUGUCAAUGAUUGAAGGAUUGCUCUCAAAGAUUGCAGUAGCAUUCCGUUUAGCUGGUCAUCAAUUCCUCAUCACAGUUUUACUGAGGCACAUGGAAAAUUGUAGCUUUGGUUGAUCAACAGAAACAGCUGGGAAGCUUGACUAUAGUUUCGUAGACCACAGAAGCAAGGACUCCCGCGAAUUUUACUUUUAACAGCUAGAGAACAACUUUAACAGUAGCAGACGCUUUUGAGACAGCUGCGUCACGAAGCAGUCAUAAAUUUACAGUUCCCCCACAAGAGCAUGAAUCGUUCACAAAAUGCUGGUUACACUUUUUGGGAAGAGGUGCUUUUUGGAAAUAGGGUGAAGUAAGGUGUUUUAAAGAAAAAUUUUUAAUGGUUUUUGAAUUUUUAUAUUUUUUUUAUUCUUUGAUAAGAAUAUAAGCUUUCGAGGGUAUUUAGAUAUUUUAUGAAGAUUUUUUUUUGUUAAUUUACCGAUUUAAUAAAUUUAAAAAAAGAAACUUUUUGAUGGGUUUUAAAAAUAUUACUUUGAAAAAAAUCAGAGAGUUAUCUCAAGUACAGAUUUAAAAUUUUAAUACCUGAAAAGUCCUCUGAUUGUCUUGUAAGAUUUCCUCCCAAACGGAGGGUUACUGUCUAGCUCCGGGUCCUGGUUUUGUGCUGAUAAGCCCAAAAGCAAUAACAGUGUUCUUCUAUGAACUUUUAAGGGACUGAUCCUUUUAUGCAUCGCCUAAAUCAUAUAAAACAAUCUGUCUGUGGGGUAUAACUGUUGGCCUUGGGCGCAUCUCCACCAACAUCAUACUCGGAUGCCUCAAAUCUUAGGCAAAAAAUUCAUCUACCUUAUUUUUCCCUUCAACUGAGGUACAAUCAAAUUCCUUUUCAAUCCCAGAGUCUUUUGCAAGGUUCUCAUUCUUGCCACACCUUUCCAAUUGCCAACUACUGCAUAUAUGUUAGAAAGCAAAUAACUUCCUGAAUUAACCAUGGAGCCUACAAGCCCCUAAACAAAGCUCCCCCUAAGAUAGGAUCUGGGUUGACCUCUCUGUUCUUAACAGGCUCAUGCUUCCAUUAAAUGUUCAAAACGGCCAAGAAGAUAAACCACACUUCAAUAAUGCUCAAUCUUUGUUUAAUCCAAUAUUUAUCUUUCACCGAGUGGAAAAACCCCCACCCUACGCUAAUCAAACCAGCAUGACCACAAUCACCAAUGCAGGUUGGCUUUCUAUCCUACCCAUCUCGUUCAAUAAAUGCAGAGCAUCUCGACAGAAUCUGUGCGUGGCAUUCCCAACAAGCAUUGAAUUUCAAACAACAUCCUUGUCCCUGAUCCUUUCAAAAACCAACACUGCAUCCUCCAAAGUCCAAACUCUCGCAUUUUCUGUGCAUAUCAAUCAAAUUGGCGCCUACAUGAGCAUUGAUCUCAAUCUCAUUAUUCUGAAUAUACAUAUGAACCCACUUCCUUGAGUCCGAAGCAGCAAGUUGCCUGCAAUCAGAGAGAAUGACCAUAACUGCCCCUUCAUUAGUCCUCACUCUGGUCUUCAGCAUUUGUCUAAAAAGCAUCUAACACUCAUAAGGCAGUCCACGCUGCACGUAACCAUCAACCUUCACAUUCCAACAAACUAAAUCCCUUUCCCGUAAUUCAUCAAACAUAUUGUCUUUCAUGUUUAUCAGCUCUGCCCAUCACUUGUUAUGGUCGAGGAAUGUGAUGGGCAUAGCUGAGAUACAUGAAAGACGUUACGUACUGAGCAUUGGCAGAUAGCUGGACCUGGAGCUGAUAUGCAACCUUCCCUAUUCGGUCAAGUACAGGAUGAGGACCAUAGAAAUGGGGUUGAAGUUUUGGUUUCCCUCCAUGUAUUGUGCUGUCUAUAGGCCGGAAACUUCACGUGCACCAAAUCUUCCAUAGUGAACUCCCAAUUAGUUCACCCUUUGUCUGCUGCUUGUUUCAUAUGGUCCUAAGCUCAAGCUCCCAGUUACCAAAAGAUUCACAUUAAGAAACAAAAGAGAGAGUGAGACGGAGUGAAAAACACAAAUUUCAUUAAAUAAACAGAGGGAUGCAAAAACAAGUGCUGAUUUUCUUUUUCUUCCUCAUUUCUUAUCUCUCACAACUCCACUGCACAGCACACUCAGCUCUAACAUUGUCACAGCAGAUGUUUUCUUUUUAUGGGCAAAGAAAUGCCACUAGUCAACAAAGCUCAUACUUACACCAUAGGUAUGGCUAUGUUGUUUUACUUGUACAUAAACUAAAAAUCUCAUUAAUUUCUUGUACACAAAUUAAAAAUCUCAUCAACUUCCAAUACUCUCCCUUGAUGGGAUUUUGUUGGAGUUGAACAUUUUCAUUUUGGAUCAUAAGUUCUUAAAGAAAAUGCUACUCCUUGGGUCCCUUCAUCAAAGGUCAGCAGUUUAUAGACAUGCAAAGGUCUCUUCAAACAAAGUUUAACAGUUUUAGGACAUGUUUGGAUCCUCUCUAACAAUUUCAAUAGUUUUAGGACAUACUUGGGUCAUUUCUAGAAAUUACAGCAGUUUUAGGAUAUGCUGAUACACUUGUAUUAUAUAGAUGUUUUUAAGUACAUUUGUAUAAUAUUUCAUAGCAUUUAGAUAAGUAAUCUCAUGCAUAAUCAUCAAUUUCAUGUACUUUUGUAAAUUCCACUGCCAAACUCUGAAUUCUAUGUUUUCUGUAUGUUUCCAGAUGUUUUGAAGAGGUUCAAAGGCAUAGGAGCAUAGUAGAGAGCUUGGAAAGACCAAAGAAUUGAGAAGUGUUGCUGAGACACCUUACACGGGUUGUGUAAUCAAAGCCAAAGACCCGUGUAACUUACUGCCAGGAGAAAGACAAAGAGCUAAGGAAGAAUCAAAGUACACGGGCCAUGUCCCAUGCCCCGUGUAAAAUAUGAAGACCUGUGUAAUUCUCUGCUGGGCCAAGCUUAAAGAUUUCCCUGAAGUACAAAAGUGCACAAGCCGUGUAAUCAGGCCCAUGUAACUACCUGAGGCCCGUGUAAAGUCCUGUCCCGAUACAAGAUGCACUAAUUCAAGCUCCAGUAAGUUACAUGGCCCUGGGCCGUAUAGUGACACACGGGCCGUGUAUCACGCGACAAUCAGUUUCCUGAAUUGGUUCCAGCUCCAGCUUUGACAGAGAGAAGAGACUCCUAAUGCCUUGAGGACUCUAAAAACCUAACCUUAGAUCAUUCAAUAUAAAUAGAGGAGCCGUAAAAAACAGAAGGGUGUUUUUUAGUUUUGAAGUUUUAGGGGAGAAAUCUUAAUUCUAGACCUAAUCUCACCUUCAUAUUCACAUCCUUCAUAGCCGUCUUGGAGAGUAGAUCAUCAGUACAAGAGGGAAGCCUCCAGCUAAAAUUCCACAAGUUCAAGGCUGUAGAAAAUCCUCAUCAGUUCUUUUAUUCUAUUUCUUUAAGACCGUUCAUGUUCUUUUAUUUUAUUUCUAUUAUGUUUGUUAAACUCACUAUGAGUGAGUAAAUCCUUGAUUCUGGAAUUGAGAGAGUAACGCUUGUAAUUAUUAUUAUGGACGAAUACUGAGUUUUAUUUAUUGGAUUUGAGUUUUGCCAUUUGA